rnacentral:rRNA from 1 species
AGCAGUCGCCGCGGUAAUACGUAGGUGGCAAGCGUUGUCCGGAAUUAUUGGGCGCAAAGCGCGCGCAGCUGGUUUAAUAAGUCUGAUGUGAAAGCCCACGGCUCAACCGUGGAGGGUCAUUGGAAACUGUUAAACUUGAGUGCAGGAGAGAAAAGUGGAAUUCCUAGUGUAGCGGUGAAAUGCGUAGAGAUUAGGAGGAACACCAGUGGCGAAGGCGGCUUUUUGGCCUGUAACUGACACUGAGGCGCGAAAGCGUGGGGAGCAAACAGGAUUAGAGACCCCCGUAGUCCCUGUCUCUUAUAC